rnacentral:lncRNA from 1 species
AAGAGAGAAUCAACCAAGGGGAGAUGGUCCCAGAAGUCAAACAGAAGGGAGUGAUUCGCUGUGAUGAAUGCUGCAGAGGCCAAAUAAGAGAGAAGAAAAGAUGGGUGUGGAUGAAGAUAGGUCUGGUAUGGAAAGUUGAAGUGGUUCCCAAUUACUGACUUCUGUGUGCUCUGUGAAGUAGGAGGCAAGGGGGAAGGAGGAGGAAAUUAUAAGUGAGGAAGGUGGUGAAGGUGUGAAAAUAGUGGCAGAUAGUGAAAAAGCAAGACAUUAGAGAAAAGUGGUAGGACUGGAGGCACAGCAGGGGCUGGUCACUGGUCAUUAUGAAUCCAUGGCGUUACCAGCCUGCCUUCUGGACUUAUGGGUUUGAAACUGCAACUGGACUUACUAGUAAUUUCACCUUUUGAUACUGCCUUUGCAAAAAUUAUAACAGUGGGAAAAUUAUGACAGUGAAAGCGAUCUGACCUAACCAACUCCAUCUUGCUUCUAACCUCCAAUCUGUCCUUGUUUAUUCCAGAGCAUAGGCCAAACUAGCUUUGAGAGAAACUUAGUUUAUAGGUUAACAUUGAAACAAAGAUGAUAAUAACUCCCUCAUGAAAUAAACCUCCUUCUUACCUAGAGAGCACACUGUCUUUGUAAGACUAACAAAUUAGCCAUAAUACAAGAAAUUCUGGUUUAGGGAGUCAUGGAGCUAGAGGCCAUAAGAUUCUGAACCUCCCCAGUUGCUCCUAGGCAUAACAUCACUAUUGUAACAUCUAAAAUUGGUGCUUGAGAUGUUUUUUGGACCCUGAGUUCUGAUAUACCAGCUGGUGCCACCCAGACUGAUAAUCUGGCCUAACCAGUUUUGCAAUCCCACCCAGGAAAAGAAGACAGCAAGAAGAAGCCACUUUGAGCCCCUAUGAUUUCAUCUUUGAUCCACUCAUCCAGCACUCCAUACUCCUUGAUCCCUACCCACCAAAUUCUCCUUAAAAGCCCUGGUCUCCAAAUGUUCAAGGCGACCGAUUUGAGUAAUAAAACUCUAGUCUCCCAUUU